rnacentral:rRNA from 1 species
GUAGGUGGCAAGCGUUGUCCGGGAAUUAUUGGGGCGUAAAGCGCGCGCAGGCGGUUCUUUAAGUCUGAUGUGAAAGCCCACGGGCUCAACCGUGGAGGGUCAUUGGAAACUGGAGAACUUGAGUACAGAAGAGGAAAGCGGAAUUCCACGUGUAGCGGUGAAAUGCGUAGAGAUGUGGAGGAACACCUGUGGCGAAGGCGGCUUUCUGGUCUGUAACUGACGCUGAGGCGCGAAAGCGUGGGGAGCAAACAGGAUUAGAUACCCUGGUAGUCCACGCCGUAAACGAUGAGUGCUAAGUGUUAGGGGGUUUCCGCCCCUUAGUGCUGCAGCUAACGCAUUAAGCACUCCGCCUGGGGAGUACGGCCGCAAAGGCUG